GGGGGCUUCGUAAUUGGGAUUUUGGCAUCACUGCAAGAGAAUUUCUAAUGAGGUUUUAAGAAAGAAGUUAUUUUUGGAGAGAAAAGAAAGCUUAAGCACUGUCUGCUUAAGAGAUGAGCAAAAUAUAUUCACGAUAAGAAUGUUUAUUAUUGACUAUUUUCAGUAUUGCUUCGUUGGGAAGGGGCAAAAAAGCGCUUUGUUUACUUCAGACUGCCUUUGAGAAUGUUUUUGCUCGAGAGCAUUGACAAUCAGAAUGUCCUACGGGGAAGAGAGGAAACAUAACUAGAAUUGAUUCCCCCCCAAAUGCUCUGUAGAAGUGCCAUGUUGUCUUGUGUCCCUACCUAAGCAAACUCAUACAGUCUUUAAAAGCAAUAUCUCAUCCAAUAAGGACUACAUAAGGACUUCCGUUAUGUUUUUUGUUGUUGUGAAUAUCUGAGGAUUGGAGGUCAUUUUUCUGUACAGUGGCAUAGUAGGUUGUUCUCAUGUUAGAAGCAUUGGGCCAAUCCACUUACUGGUUUUACCCAUAAGCGUUUAGUUUGAUGUGAAUGUACAUAAAGAGUUAUUUAUCUAGUUGCAUGACAUGUAACCUUUCCUGUUGCCUCUGAUAAUAUGCAUCUGAAAAACAAAACAUCAAAAACAGUUAUAACUCAAUGCCAUAGAAUGUCAGCUAAGACUAUUUGCCUCUAUAACCAUGAUAAUAAAAGCAUUUUAUGUAUACUAGCACUGAACCCUGCUGGCUGGAUUAGUUGUGAGGCUUUUGUCUUGCCGUGUGGGUUUUGGGAUGUUACUGCAGUGAUUUUAAUCAGGUUGAGCUAACAGUGCUAUCUAGUGGUAUUAGAUUGUAUAUAUCACACUGUGUUGUCCUCCAUGAUGACCCACAAUGGAGGACGCAAUCAAAGGAACACGCUUACAAGAUGGGGGAGGGCCGCAGCUCAUUUCGGAGAUCUAUUUUCCUCGUUCUGCCCUUCACAACAGCCAAGUGCAUCCUGGAAUUUCUUUUGUGAUAGAAAUCUCCCAUAUGAAUGUAAACGGGGAAAAGAGGUGUGUAGUUGGGUUUCAGUAUUGACAUUUUUGCAAUCUGACACAUAAAUAUUCACAAGUGAAG
ensembl:lncRNA